rnacentral:rRNA from 1 species
AUGGGGUGACUGCGUACCUUUUGUAUAAUGGGUCAGCGACUUAUAUUCUGUAGCAAGGUUAACCGUAUAGGGGAGCCGUAGGGAAACCGAGUCUUAACUGGGCGAAUGAGUUGCAGGGUAUAGACCCGAAACCCGGUGAUCUAUCCAUGGGCAGGUUGAAGGUUGGGUAACACUAACUGGAGGACCGAACCGACUAAUGUUGAAAAAUUAGCGGAUGACUUGUGGAUGGGGGUGAAAGGCCAAUCAAACCGGGAGAUAGCUGGUUCUCCCCGAAAGCUAUUUAGGUAGCGCCUCGUGAACUCAUCUUCGGGGGUAGAGCACUGUUUCGACUAGGGGGUCAUCCCGACUUACCAACUCGAUGCAAACUGCGAAUACCGAAGAAUGUUAUCACGGGAGACACACGGCGGGUGCUAACGUCCGUCGUGAAGAGGGAAACAACCCAGACCGCCAGCUAAGGUCCCAAAGUCAUGGUUAAGUGGGAAACGAAGUGGGAAGGCUCAGACAGCCAGGAUGUUGGCUUAGAAGCAGCCAUCAUUUAAAGAAAGCGUAAUAGCUCACUGGUCGAGUCGGCCCGCGCGGAAGAUGUAACGGGGCUAAACCAUGCACCGAAGCUGCGGCAGCGACACAUAGUGUUGUUGGGUAGGGGAGCGUUCUGUAAGCCUGCGAAGGUGUACUGUGAGGUAUGCUGGAGGUAUCAGAAGUGCGAAUGCUGACAUAAGUAACGAUAAUGCGGGUGAAAAACCCGCACGCCGGAAGACCAAGGGUUCCUGUCCAACGUUAAUCGGGGCAGGGUGAGUCGACCCCUAAGGCGAGGCUGAAAAGCGUAGUCGAUGGGAAACGGGUUAAUAUUCCCGUACUGGUGGUAACUGCGAUGGGGGAACGGAGAAGGCUAGGUUGUCCGGGCGACGGUCGUCCCGGUUCAAGCAGGUAGGCAGAGUGAUUAGGCAAAUCCGGUCACUUAAUGCUGAGAUGUGAUGACGAACCACCAAGGUGGUGAAGCAAUUGAUGCCCCGCUUCCAGGAAAAGCCUCUAAGCUUCAGGUUACCAACAAUCGUACCCCAAACCGACACAGGUGGUCAGGUAGAGAAUACUCAGGCGCUUGAGAGAACUCGGGUGAAGGAACUAGGCAAAAUGGUGCCGUAACUUCGGGAGAAGGCACGCUGGCGGUAGGUAAAGUCCCU